rnacentral:lncRNA from 1 species
CCCUGGUGUGUUUUUGGUCGUCUACAUAAAAUACAAAACGAUAUACCUUUGUUAAAUUAUUUAGAAGAAUGAAUACGUAACUUAAUCUAAAUGGCUAAUGAUCAAUCAAAUGCACAUUAACUCCAGGUGUAUUUAGUUUACGAAUCCUGUGAACAUGUUCAUGAAUUAUUCACACUAGUUGUUGUAAAUAUUCUCAAGUAACAUCAUAAGCAUGUGAGUUAGUA